CAUCUUCAUCUUCACCAACCCCACCUUUAUCUUCACCAACUCCAUCUCCACCGCCACCACCUCCGUCGUCGCCUCCUUCAUAACCACUACUACCUCUAUGCCUCCCGCCCCCUCCAUAACCACCACCUCCAUCUCCACCACCUCCAUCUCCACCUCCACCUCCAUUAUUUCUCUAACAACACAACCUCCACCUCCAUCUUCACUAGCCCCAUCUUAAUCGUUGUUUUAACCUCCUUCAGCCCCGUUCAUACUUCUUUCUCCACCUCGACUCAACUUCAAACGCGGAGCCGCCACUAUUCCGGCAACGCUCCAACCCCCUACUUCAAGCCGCCCAAACCUCCGCUACAAUCAUCUUUCCUUCAUCUCCACCUUCACAUCCACCAUCUCCACCACUAUCACCAUCAUCUGAAUCGAAAACGUGAACAGAUCUGGAGAUUCUAAGCUGGAACAUAUCUGGAGAUUAAGUUUUCACUAAUUCGUGCAACACAGAUCACUAAAUCCUAAAGAGAAUAUCACUAAAUUGUACUGAGAAUAUCACUAACUUGUAUUGGUUUCUAGUUUUUAUUUUAAAAUUGGUUUCUAUUUGAUCAUUAGCCUAUAUAU
rnacentral:lncRNA from 1 species